rnacentral:tRNA from 1 species
CAGUAUUUAGUUUAAAUUAAAAUUUUAAUUUUGGAUAUUAAAGAUAUAUAACAUUAUUAUACUGA